rnacentral:lncRNA from 1 species
AAAGUCACCCGGACUUUUAGACGGAGGAAGUAUUGAACCUUAUGAGUGCCGGCUUGCCGCAUAUUCAAGCUUGAAGAAGCUAUUCCGUAAUCCGAGCUCUCAAUUCAGUUCCCUCCUACUCCGUUUUCUCAACAGGUAACCUCCCGUCCCCCGCCUCUUUUUUCCUUUUUCAAUUCCGAACUCUAAUCCCUUUUGUGAACCUUAUGAGUGCCGCAUAUUCAAGCUUGAAGAAGCUAUUCCGUAAUCCGGGCUCUCAAUGCAGUUCCCUCCUGCUCCGUUUUCUCAACAGCUAACCUCCCGUCCCCCGCCUCUUUCUUCCUUUUUCAAUUCCGAACUCUAAUCCCUUUUGUGAACCUUAUGAGUGCCGCAUAUUCAAGCUUGAAGAAGCUAUUCCGUAAUCCGGGCUCUCAAUGCAGUUCCCUCCUGCUCCGUUUUCUCAACAGCUAACCUCCCGUCCCCCGCCUCUUUCUUCCUUUUUCAAUUCCGAACUCUAAUCCCUUUUGUGAACCUUAUGAGUGCCGCAUAUUCAAGCUUGAAGAAGCUAUUCCGUAAUCCGGGCUCUCAAUGCAGUUCCCUCCUGCUCCGUUUUCUCAACAGCUAACCUCCCGUCCCCCGCCUCUUUCUUCCUUUUUCAAUUCCGAACUCUAAUCCCUUUUGUGAACCUUAUGAGUGCCGCAUAUUCAAGCUUGAAGAAGCUAUUCCGUAAUCCGAGCUCUCAAUUCAGUUCCCUCCUGCUCCGUUUUCUCAACAGGUAACCUCCCGUCCCCCGCCUCUUUCUUCCUUUUUCAAUUCCGAACUCUAAUCCCUAUAAGCUCAUAUUCAACUGGUAAAUCUUUCAUUUUUGCUUAUUAUUAUCUUUC